AUAGACGGUACCCUGGGAAUAAGCAUCGGCUAACUCCGUGCCAGCAGCCGCGGUAAUACGGAGGAUGCGAGCGUUAUCCGGAUCAUUGGGUUUAAAGGGUGCGUAGGCGGACUAUUAAGUCAGUGGUGAAAUCCUGCAGCUUAACUGCAGAACUGCCAUUGAUACUGAUAGCCUUGAGUUUGGUUAAGGUAGGCGGAAUGUGUAAUGUAGCGGUGAAAUGCUUAGAUAUUACACAGAACACCAAUUGCGUAGGCAGCUUACUGAGCCGACACUGACGCAGGCACGAAAGCGUGGGGAUCGAACAGGAUUAGAUACCCUGGUAGUCCACGCCGUAAACGAUGAUUACUCGCUGUUGGCGAUACACUGUCAGCGGCUAAGCAAAAGCAAUAAGUAAUCCACCUGGGGAGUACGGCCGCAAGGUUGAAACUCAAAGGAAUUGGCGGGGGCCCGCACAAGCGGAGGAACAUGUGGUUUAAUUCGAUGAUACGCGAGGAACCUUACCUGGGCUUAAAUGUAGAGUGCAUUUUCUAGAGAUAGGAAUUCCCUUCGGGGCUUUCUGCAAGGUGCUGCAUGGUUGUCGUCAGCUCGUGCCGUGAGGUGUCGGGUUAAGUCCCAUAACGAGCGCAACCCUUAUCGUUAGUUGCCAUCUGGUAAAGCAGGGGACUCUAGCGAAACUGCCACCGUAAGGUGAGAGGAAGGUGGGGAUAACGUCAAAUCAGCACGGCCCUUAUGUCCAGGGCUACACACGUGUUACAAUGGUCGGUACAGAGGGCAGCUACCUGGUGACAGGAUGCUAAUCUCGAAAACCGGUCUCAGUUCGGAUCGAAGUCUGCAACUCGACUUCGUGAAGCUGGAUUCGCUAGUAAUCGCGCAUCAGCAUGGCGCGGUGAAUACGUUCCCGGGCCUUGCACACACCGCCCGU
rnacentral:rRNA from 1 species